CCAUGGCAGCAGUGAGAGGAACCUCAAAAUUCCAAAUUCCAAAUUUUGAAAUCGACAAAAUAAUAAUAAUAAUAAAAAAAAGAAACGGGCAGAUUGAGUUUGUAAAACGCCUACCAAAUGACCGUCUCCUUCAAAAACGAAAACUUUUGCCGUAUUCCUUUCGAAAUACCCGCGCUCCGUUCGAAAUCUCCGCCCUCGGUUCUAAAUCGCCGUGCUCAGUUCGAAAUCGCCGUGCUCCGUUCGUGUUGACAUUGGGACUCACAGUCUUCGAAAUCUCCGUGCUUGAUUCAAGUUUAAGGUUGACAUUGGAACUCCGUCGUGCCCUCCUCCGUUCGGUGCUUCGUCGCGGUGAACUGAAGAGGAAGUUAUUUAAUUGAAGCACUUCUAAAGUGGGAGAUUGUGGAGCUUGAAAUUAGACGUUGGCUUGUAUUGGUAAGGUGAAUAUUUUUUUUUUUCGUUUAUUCUAUAGCAAAUUUUCAUAUUUCAUACAGAUUGAUUUCUCUUUCUACCUAUAUAUAAUAUAUCCACAUUUAACUAAAUUAUAAGUUCAGCUAUGAGUAAUUAGAACCUUAGGUGGAAAUGUCAAAGCAAUUUUAAACCCCUAAUGAAAAUUUUAAAUUAAACUGCAAUCAUAGUAUUUAGUCACAACUAAUGGUAAGAAACCACUUGAUGUAUCUUAUAUCCGAGAUGUACUUCUCUCCCCGUUCCUUUCAGUUCUGUACAUCCUUUAUUGACAGUUCUUCAACUGAGCUGGCAAGCCUAAGUUUUAUUUGAAUAAAAUUUAUGUUUUCUUUUGUGCAUCUGAUUUAGUUUGUAGCUGAGACUUUAAGAGAGGUGUUUGGGCUCCCAACUUCAAGUAUGUGGGGUGUGCUAUUAUACUUCAUUCUGUUUAUUAUUUUCUACUCAUUUUCUCUUUAUUACACGUUUACUAUUUUCUACCUAGCCUAAAAUACUCUAUACUCCAAACACAAAUUAUUAUAGUCAUACUAUUAUCUGUCACGGACUCUAAUAACCAAACCACAGAUUAUAAUAGUCAAGUCGGUGGCCUGAACUCCUAAAUUCUAAUAUCCUAGUAAGACAGUGGCGAGCUUGAGCUAGUUAUUUUAUCUGUUAGUAACUUAUGUUCUAAAUUGUCACGUUGUAACGCCAGUAUACUGAUUUGGUUUUGGUGUUCCGUCUAUAUUACGGAAAGCAAAGUAAUGGCUUCAAAAAAAGUAAUCUUGGUAUCCAUUUUUGCUAUCUCUAUAUUUAAACUCUUAAACUCUCUGUAUUUGUCUCUUUCUGUGUCUCCAUGAACAAUGAGAAGCCAAUACAAACAGAUGAAUUCUCUGUUUGGUUCUCUUUCUCUAUCUCGAUGUUGGGGAGAAAAGCUAAAUAUUUGAGGCAUUGAUUUCAGGAAUUGGUGCAAGGGUUUGAUCAAGAGGCUGCUGCAGUUGUUGUGGCAAGAUUAACUUCAUUGAAAAUGGAGAUGGAGUUAUUUUCAAAUUUUAUAUUUCAUUUAUUUAGUUGAUUUUUCAUGAAACAAUCUUUUUUCUUCUUUCCGAGAGCCACCCCAGCCUACUUAAUUUGUUAAAUCUAUGUCUAGCCAACACAAAAGAAAAUGAUAGUGAAUUUAAGUUUGUUGGGAGGGAGUAUGAGCGGUAUUGAACUUGAGAAGUUUGCAUUACAGAACUUGUGAUCCUUGCGUGGAUUCAGGUGCUACUUAUGAAUGGGAGGAACUGAAAAUUUGUCUCGGCUCAUGAAAUUACUUUUUUUCUUUUUGUGGCAUGCGUGUGAGAGAGGAUUAUUUACUUCAGUGAAAUAAAUGUCCCUUUGGGGACAUCUGAUACUUAAGUGAAAUAAAUUAUAAGGAUAAAUUUAGUCCAAUGGGCUUUUACUUGCUAAUUUCUUGGAAUUCUGCACCUGUCAUCAGGGGUGAUUGAAUGCAAUAUUUAGGGAAGAUUAUCCUCAAAACACUCUUUAGGCGUCCAUUUUUGUAGCUGGGGUUGUAUUUUUUAUUUUUUUCCGUAUGCAUUUUAUACUUUCACUUUUCUCAGCUUGGUUUCUUAUAUAUAAAAAAAAAGAAUAUAAAACCCAGGAAUGGUAUUCUAUGAAACUUAGAGGUUUGGUCAGGGGAAAAAGAAUUUCAAGAAGAACUCGAGGAGUCGUAUAAACCUUUGGGAAAAUAUUUCUUCUGUAUCCUGGCCUCUCUGGUACUUGCUCAAGACAUCCUUUAGUUAAUAAUGUUAACUCAAAACUGAACAAUAUCUUUUGUAAACUUACAUCUCUUUUUUGUUAAUGAAAUUUCUUUCUUUUAGAAAGAUACAGAAGAUAAAAUAUUAUGUUACAAGAGAAAUGAACCAACCAGUCAGCUAAGGUUUGUAAGAUGCUUGUAAUCCGUAAUUACUUUUAUGAUUUUUGGCUCAUGGGGAGAAGGAAAAAUACAAAAGCAUGAAUGGACUGGUAGAUUCCGUAAUUACUUUUAUUCCCAUGUUGCUUUUAAUAAAGAAAUUCACGCCCCUAGUGUUACACUUGAAGUUCACGGGUGCUUUAAGAUUUUGUAGAUUUUGGAAUCCUCCUUGAGGUUUAAGAUUAAUCUAUCAAUAAGUUUAGAGGGCGGUAUUCCACAGGGAGCAUACAUACUUGGGCAACUCUUAGGUAUAUUCCUUGUAAACUUGCGCGUAUGAAUAAAGGAAUACCAUUUUCCUUAAGAUAAAUGCUCAAAACUCAAUGCUCAAAUGUAGAAUUAAUAAAAAUGAACUUCAAUAAUUUGUUGGAUUUGAAAUCUAUUGGCUCCAAUUUGAAUAUCAAUGGUUUUCAUUCUUAUGGGAGCCGGACUAAUUUUGAUGGCGAUGCUUCAAAUUUUGAAGCUAAUUGAGUGAUGCUAAUGGUUUUCAUUCUGAGUUGACAAACGACGGUGAGAGCAUUGAGGAUAAUGGCGAGGAGCUGGAUGAUUUUGAUGGCUGGGAAUUUAAGGUUGCAGAGUCGGUUACGCCUACAGGUGAUGAUUAGAACUCAAAGGUACCGUGCAUAUUAGGGGUUAAUUUAUCUAGUCUUGAUCUUCUAGGGUUUCUUCAUCAGUAUUGGUUGAUGUUGAGUAUGACCUAUUGAUUCUCAAAGAACAGAAAACAGAACUGGAAUUAACGUGCUUCAAUCUGACAGGGAAAAUGACCUCCAUUUUGUUUGUUGUUUGGAUUUCUUUUCUCAUACUUCAAGUUGUGAAGAUCAAUGAUUGAUAGAAUAGUCAAAUUGCUACAAGCACUAUAAUGACAAUCUUCAUAAAAUACUGAUGUUUUUGGAUUUGGCAUAUUGGUUCUUGAACUCUUGACAAGGCAAAAAGCACUUGAUGCCGGCAAUGGUUAAAUUUGAAAGGGAAUGAUCCUCGAAUGGUUAUGGGGAAACAACUGCAGCGACAGCAAAUAGAUUAGGAUUGAAAAACGUUUACUACCCCAAGAAUCCUGGCUUGGAAGGGAUCAAUGCUCGUGAAAGCAAGUGUUUUUUGUUGUCAAUAUUUAUGCACUAUGUUGAACUUUAAAUGUCUUUUUAUGUUAAAAAGUUUCAUGACUGUGUAAUUUUGCUAUUCUCAUUACAAAAAUGGGAUCUCACAACACCAUCAAUGUCGACGGAUAGAGGACAUCGGCAGUGGGGGACUCCUGAUGCGACGUCGGAGACGGUUUCCCUGUGGCAUUGUCCAUGACGUUGGGAAUGCCCAACGUUGUUUGUGCGUCAGGAGAUAUACAUAUUUUCAAUUAUUAUAUUCAACUUUUUUUUUUU